rnacentral:misc_RNA from 1 species
GUGGAAAAGAAAAAUUAAAAAUUUAGAAAGAAGAAGAAGAAGAAAAAACAAGAAGGCAAAAUUCACACAGCAGUUACAAUUUAGAUUACGUCAGGAAAAAAGACGAACCAAUCCCUGGAUUUCUACAAGAAAAUUACACUGGAGCCUCAAUCGUCAGCCAAGGACUCUGUGUCUCUGUUCUCAAUUACAUGAUGGAACAAGGGGGAUCCUGGUAAUAGUCUACUGGGUGCCUAAGCUCAUACGCAUAAGGAUAAGGAACCCCUCCCACAUAAGGCCAGGCCAAUUGCCUUUGACCUCCUCUUUCUUCUCUCCCGCAGCGGUCACGCUUACUAGCUCUGCGUGGCCAACG